GGGGAUUUAGCUCAGUGGUAGAGCGCUUGCCUAGCAAGCACAAGGCACUGGGUUUGGUCCCCAGCUCCG
rnacentral:tRNA from 1 species